rnacentral:rRNA from 1 species
GACGAACGCUGGCGGCGUGCUUAACACAUGCAAGUCGAGCGGUAAGGCCUGCUUCGGUGGGUACACGAGCGGCGAACGGGUGAGUAACACGUGGGUGACCUGCCCUUAGCUCUGGGAUAAGCCUGGGAAACUGGGUCUAAUACCGGAUAUGACCAUAUGUCGCAUGGUGUGUGGUGGAAAGCCUGGUUGUUGUGACUGGGUGGCUGGGGAGUGGGCCCGGCCGGCCUAUCAGCUUGUUGGUGGGGUGAUGGCCUACCAAGGCGACGACGGGUAGCCGGCCUGAGAGGGCGACCGGCCACACUGGGACUGAGACACGGCCCA